rnacentral:lncRNA from 1 species
GACACUAAUAAAAUAAUUGGGUUUGGAGGGAAAAGUGACUGGCCAACAAGCAUCAAAGAAGUGGGAGAAUUUAAAGAAAAAAUAUUAGGCCCAAAACCGGUUCUGGAACAGAUGCUGGAGAGGUAACAGCUUCUACGUGGCAGUAUUUUGAAGAAAUGCACAAGGUGUUGGGUUCCAGGCCUUCUGUGGACCCUCCUGUGGUGGUUGCAUCAUUCACUGACGAGGAACCCAUAACAAUCCUCAUGGUCACUGUUGAACCCAGUGGAAGUACUGCUGCCAGCACCAUAGGAGCCUUCUCAUCUUUGCAAAAUACAUCGGAAGAGACAGCCUCUUCUAGUGCAGCAUCCACCAUGGUGAUAGCAAGCCCCCCAACUCCAUCACCAAAGAAAAAAAAGAGGAAAAGUAAUCCCGGUUUGGAUUUUUUUAGUAGAAGAGUCCCAAAAGGAGCAGAAUCGCCACGAAGAGAGCGAGGCCAAGA